UCAAAAAUAGAGAAACAACUUCAAGAAGACUACGUAGUGCAUGACCCGAGCUAACCUAGGAGAAUUUUAUCAAAUUAACCCGAAAGUUGAAAGGAAUUUGCGUAAGCUAUGGGAAAGUUUGAAAUUUGAGUGUUCUAUAGAGGGAACGCUUCCUACAUCUGAAGCCAUACCACUUUCAUUAAUUCCAAUCAUAGAUAUAUCCUCUGA
rnacentral:lncRNA from 1 species